AUACGGAGGGGGCUAGCGUUGUUCGGAAUUACUGGGCGUAAAGCGCGCGUAGGCGGCUUAUCAAGUUAGGCGUGAAAGGCCUGGGCUCAACCCGGGAACUGCGCUUAAUACUGGUAGACUUGAGUCCGGGAGAGGGUGGCGGAAUUCCCAGUGUAGAGGUGAAAUUCGUAGAUAUUGGGAAGAACACCAGUGGCGAAGGCGGCCACCUGGCCCGGUACUGACGCUGAGGUGCGAAAGCGUGGGGAGCAAACAGGAUUAGAUACCCGAGUAGUCC
rnacentral:rRNA from 1 species